GGAGCCUCCAAAAGGCGCGGCGUGUAGAAACGCUCUCUAGAAUCAGUCCGGUUGUCCACUCGUGUCCGGCAAGCCAGCGGUCAGGUGUUAGCGAAAUGUGCUCGGGAAACAACGUUUUCGAACGUCAGUGUGCAGUAGUGUGCUGGGGUGCAGUGAGGGGACGUCAUCCGCGGGCGAAUUCAUUGUCAUCAGCAUUGAUGUUAGUUGAGAAAAUUAAUGUCCAUGGAGGUAAUAGAGUGUCACUGCAUAUUCAAGCAUAUUGGGUGCUAUAAAUAACCUGAAUCUCAACAACAACUUGUUGGGUAGGUAGUUUCCCCUUUUCACAGGGGAUGAAACCAUUGUGGAGGUGAAAUGACUUUCCAAGCUCACACCUCUGCAAGUGCUAGUGCCAGGAGCUGACCGUCUUCAGACUGCGAUGGGAGGCUGUCGACCUCAACCCUCUCAUCCACGCUCUGCCUGCUGAUAGAAGUCAGUCGAUUAGUAAUUAAUUUCCAACAGUUAAUAAGAUUUAGAUGUUGUUGCAUGUCAGGCAGGGUGUAUAACAGGGCUGAAUGUGAUCUUAUCAAUUUCUGAGACGAUUUUAAAUCAGUACCUUCACAGGGAAAUAAAAGAGUCGUAUGACAGGCGUGUGGCAGCAGGCUGGGUGCUUUUCUUGUUUCUGAAUCCAGCUCCCACUCAAAGUCACCUAUUCCUCUGUUGCCUCAGCCCCUGCCGUGCACACUGGCAUCUCACACACACCCCACCCCUUCCACAAGCUCUGGCUCUUGUGGCUCCUGCCCAGACGAGAGACAGGGAGUGUUGCCCAUGCUGCUCGUGCCUGUUUGAAAAUAGCUCCCGUGCUUUUGGAACAUGUCCAUGCUUUAGCAAACCUGUCUCUUUACCAAGGGCUGCUGACAUCUGCACCUUCGAGCGGUCUGCCAGCGCUCCCCUUUUUCCCUCUCCCCCCCCCCCCCCCCCCCCCCCCCACUGCCGCAGCAACAACACGAAGAGCCAAAACUUGGUAUUUUACUACGUGUUUGAUGCACUUUAUGUGCAUGAUCUCACAUCAACUCCCUGAGAAAGGGAUUGUUGUUGCCUUUCUAAGGUGAGGACCACGAAGCGCAAACAGACUCAGUGACUUCCCCACUCCUCCCGCAGUCUGGGGAGCGGGCAGGCCUGUUCUUAGUUAUUUUUAUCCUGCGUACAGAUCCCUGGUUGCCUCAAACAGAUCUUUGUGACCGCCAAGCAUUAGGACAAUAAAAAUGUUUAAAGAUUAGCCGCACGUAGGGGAAUUGUAUGGCUACGAGUUUCUGGGUCACUAAUACUCCUCAGAGAAUUUACCUAUUCCUGUAACAUAAAACUAUGAAUUAACAUUUGGGGAAAACGGGAAAAAGGUGUUAGCACUUUCAACUUCCUUCUCUCCGUUUCUUCUCUCCUGGAAUUUUGGUUAAUCCAGAAAAGUUUUGAUAAAGCCCAUUUUUAAAGUAUACAAAUAAAGUUCAAAAUGGUAAUUCUUUUACAUCUCACAAUCGUUAUUUUAUAAGCAAUUAGUUUCACUACUGUUUCCUUUCUCCUAAGAAGUUAAAAUAGGACCUUGAGGGUAUUAUGCUGAGCAAAGUAAGCCAGACCGAGAAAGACAAACACCUAUGAUUUCAAGCAUGUGUGAAAGAUAAACAAACACGUGGACAAAGACAAC
ensembl:lncRNA